GGCUGAAAUUCGCCUUCAUGAAGCUGGAAUUGCUAGUAAUGGCAGGUCAGCAUACUGCCGUGAAUACGUUCCCGGGCCUUGUACACACCGCCCGUCACGCCAUGAGAGUUGGGAAUACCCGAAGCCUGUGAGCUAACUUAUAGAGGCAGCAGUCGAAGGUAGAAUCAAUGAUUGGGGUGAAGUCGUAACAAGGUACC
rnacentral:rRNA from 1 species